rnacentral:lncRNA from 1 species
CUGAGUUGUUAUGUUGUAGAUGUGUGUUGAACCUAAGGGGUGAAGAGGGAAAAACAAAAAAAGCCAAACAUGUGGUUUGGGAGUGGGUGGGGCAGAGGUUUGCCUUACCUUUUUAUUAAGGAAAACAUUGAUCAUUUUAAUGAGAAGUUUUAGGUUUGGUAAGAUUAACAGGAUGGAGAGUGAAGAGAUUUAAAAUGGAGGGGAAAAAGAAGUUCCAUAGGUGAUUUAGAAAAAUAAAGGAAG